UGUGGCCAAGUUGGUAAGGGCGCACGGUGGAUGCCUGGGCACCAGGAGCCGAUGAAGGACGUAGGAGGCUGCGAUAAGCCUCGGGGAGCUGCCAACCGAGCGUUGAUCCGAGGAUGUCCGAAUGGGGGAACCCCGCACCAGUCAUGUGGUGUGACCCGCGCCUGAACACAUAGGGCGUGCGGAGGGAACGUGGGGAAGUGAAACAUCUCAGUACCCACAGGAGAAGAAAACAACCGUGAUUCCGUGAGUAGUGGCGAGCGAAAGCGGAGCAGGCUAAACCGUUUCCAUGCGGAUACCCGGCAGGGGUUGUGGGAACGGGGUCGUGGGAGCGUUCUGACCUCUCUGCCGGGGGGUCGGGGAGUGAGAAAGCGUCGUGGUUAGUGGAAGGCCUCUGGAAGGGGUCGCCGGAGAGGGUGAGAGCCCCGUACACGAAAACCCGUCGCCUCCCGAGCGUUUUCCCAAGUAGCACCGAGCCCGUGGAAUUCGGUGUGAAUCGGGCGGGACCACCCGCUAAGCCUGAAUACUCCCUGGUGACCGAUAGCGGACGAGUACCGUGAGGGAAAGGUGAAAAGUACCCCGGGAGGGGAGUGAAAUAGUACCUGAAACCGUGUGCCUACAAGCCGUGAGAGCCGCCGCACCCCUCGGGUGGGCGGUGAUUGCGUGCCUUUUGAAGAAUGAGCCUGCGAGUUAGUGGUGCGUGGCGAGGUUAACCCGCGGGGGGUAGCCGUAGCGAAAGCGAGUCCGAACAGGGCGAUCCAGUCGCGUGCUCUAGACCCGAAGCCGAGUGAUCUACCCAUGGCCAGGUUGAAGCGCGGGUAAGACCGCGUGGAGGACCGAACCCACCAGGGUUGAAAACCUGGGGGAUGAGCUGUGGGUAGGGGUGAAAGGCCAAUCAAACUCGGUGAUAGCUGGUUCUCCCCGAAAUGCAUUUAGGUGCAGCGUCGCGUGUUUCUUGCCGGAGGUAGAGCACUGGAUGGCCGAUGGGCCCCACAAGGUUACUGACGUCAACCAAACUCCGAAUGCCGGCAAGUGAGAGCGCGGCAGUGAGACUGCGGGCGAUAAGGUUCGUAGUCGAGAGGGAAACAGCCCAGAUCAUCGGCUAAGGCCCCCAAGCGUGUGCUAAGUGGAAAAGGAUGUGGGAUCGCAGAGACAACCAGGAGGUUGGCUUAGAAGCAGCCAUCCUUGAAAGAGUGCGUAAUAGCUCACUGGUCAAGUGGUUCCGCGCCGACAAUGUAGCGGGGCUCAAGCACACCGCCGAAGCCGUGGCACUCGCACGAGUUCCUGCCGGGCCCCCGCGGGGGGCCGGCCAGGAGUGCGGGUGGGUAGGGGAGCGUCGUGUGGCGGGGGAAGCGGCGGAGGAAUCCAGCCGUGGACGCCACACGAGUGAGAAUGCAGGCAUGAGUAGCGAGAGGGGAGUGAGAACCUCCCCCGCCGGAAGACCAAGGGUUCCUGGGCCAGGCUAAUCCGCCCAGGGUGAGUCGGGACCUAAGGCGAGGCCGACAGGCGUAGUCGAUGGACAACGGGUUGAUAUUCCCGUACCCGCGAAGGAGCGCCCAUGCCGAACCUGGCGAUGCUAACCACCCGAACCCGGUCCCGCCGUUGCGGUGGGAGCGGGGGAGCGUGGGACCCGGACCGGUAGUAGGCAAGCGAUGGGGUGACGCAGGAAGGUAGUCGGGCCGGUGAGUGGUAGGACCGGUGCAAGGGUGUGGCCCGCGGCGCAGGCAAAUCCGCGCCGCACACGAGGGUGAGGCCCGACGCGUAGCCGGAUGAGGCGAAUCCGAUGAUCCUAUGCUGCCGAGAAAAGCCUCUAGCGAGUUCCGAGCGGCCCGUACCCCAAACCAACUCAGGUGGUCAGGUAGAGAAUACCGAGGCGAUCGAGCGAACUGUGGUUAAGGAACUCGGCAAAAUGCCCCCGUAACUUCGGGAGAAGGGGGACCGGAGCCGGUGAACACCCUCGCGGUGGGAGCGGGAGCCGGUCGCAGAGACCAGUGAGAAGCGACUGUUUACUAAAAACACAGGUCCGUGCGAAGUCGUAAGACGAUGUAUACGGACUGACGCCUGCCCGGUGCUGGAACGUUAAGGGGACGGGUUAGCUCUUCGGGGCGACGCUCAGAACUCAAGCGCCAGUAAACGGCGGUGGUAACUAUAACCAUCCUAAGGUAGCGAAAUUCCUUGUCGGGUAAGUUCCGACCUGCACGAAUGGCGUAACGACUUCUCAGCUGUCUCAACCACAGGCUCGGCGAAAUUGCACUACGAGUAAAGAUGCUCGUUACGCGCGGCAGGACGGAAAGACCCCGGGACCUUCACUACAGCUUGAUAUUGGUGUUCGGUUCGGCUUGUGUAGGAUAGGUGGGAGACUGCGAAGCGGGCACGCCAGUGCCGGUGGAGUCGCCGUUGAAAUACCACUCUGGUCGAAUUGGAUGUCUAACCUCGGUCCGUGAGCCGGAUCAGGAACAGUGUCAGGUGGGUAGUUUAACUGGGGCGGUUGCCUCCCAAAAUGUAACGGAGGCGCCCAAAGGUUCCCUCAGCCUGGUUGGCAAUCAGGUGUCGAGUGCAAGUGCACAAGGGGGCUUGACUGCGAGACCGACGGGUCGAGCAGGAGCGAAAGCUGGGACUAGUGACCCGGCACCGGCGUGUGGAAGCGGUGUCGCUCAACGGAUAAAAGGUACCCCGGGGAUAACAGGCUGAUCUUCCCCAAGAGUCCAUAUCGACGGGAUGGUUUGGCACCUCGAUGUCGGCUCGUCGCAUCCUGGGGCUGGAGUAGGUCCCAAGGGUUGGGCUGUUCGCCCAUUAAAGCGGUACGCGAGCUGGGUUUAGAACGUCGUGAGACAGUUCGGUCCCUAUCCGCCGCGCGCGUAAGAGACUUGAGAAGAGCUGUCCCUAGUACGAGAGGACCGGGACGGACGAACCUCUGGUGUGCCAGUUGUACCGCCAGGUGCACGGCUGGUUGGCCACGUUCGGCAGGGAUAACCGCUGAAAGCAUCUAAGCGGGAAGCUCGCUUCAAGAUGAGGUCUCUCACCCAACCAUGGGGUAAGGCCCCCGCCCAGACCAGCGGGUCGAUAGGCCGGAAGUGGAAGCACCGCGAGGUGCGCAGCUGACCGGUACUAACAGGCCGAGGACUUGACCACAC
rnacentral:rRNA from 1 species